UCCUUUACAUAUUCUGCAAUAUUAUAAUAAUUAUAAGAAGUUCCACGUAAAAUCUUCACCAUUAAAUUAGCAUUGAAUGCUCUGGAUCUGCUUCAAAGUAGCACUUAACAGUCAGGACACUCCAAAGGUAUGUUAAACACUCACGAAUUGUCCUGCAUUUUGAAGUAACGGCCACAAUAAUUUCCUUAAUUUCCGUGGGAAGAAGAUGAGCAAUUUCCUCGAAAAGGAUAUGCCCGUUCUCAUCAAUUAAUCCUGUUGUUCGGAAGAGGCAAUCGAUGUAGCACUGAAGAGUCCGAUCAUCAGGAAGGUAUCCAUUCACACUGGCAAGAAUCAGGGAUUCAUCCACAUUCGUUUGAGCCACACAGUGCUCAUGUAGUAGCCUUGCUCCUUCUCUCAGUUCUUCUGGGAUCUCUACUUUGGCCCCACAUCCCACACAAAUGGCCAAAAGAAAAGCCACAGCAGACAAAUAUACUUUGGAAUACAUUUUCCCUUGCAAAAUGAUCACUGUUGUGGGGCUACGGUGCACUCGACUAGCCCUUUUAUUGUCCUCCGCGAUCAUGCAAAUUGGAAAUUAAGUUUCAGGGGGAAAUCUUGGGUGUAUAAUUAGAAUAAGGCACCAGACGCCACAACAUGCAAUUACCUGCACAGAAGAAAAUUCUUUAGUAAAAUGCCUCAAGUUUUCCUAAAGACCGCCACAAAUACAAAAAGGUGGGGAGUUUUGAUCAAUAAAAAAAAACAAAUUCAUUUUAAGAUCUUUUGCCUUAAUCGAACUAUGAAUUAAAACAUGUAAUUUGAAUAGAUAUGCAAAUCAUUGUUGUUAUUGAAAAUAGAAAAUCUUGAAUGUUGCAACAUUCUAUGAAUUUUCUUUUAUCAUUUUCCGAAGUGAUUUACAAAAAAAAAACUCAGAAA